rnacentral:rRNA from 1 species
AAUGCCGCGUGGGUGAAGAAGGCCUUCGGGUUGUAAAGCCCUUUUGUACGGGAAGAAAUCCUGUCGGUUAAUACCCGGCGGGGAUGACGGUACCGUAAGAAUAAGCACCGGCUAACUUCGUGCCAGCAACUUCGGUGACUGAGCGGGCUGGCAAGGCGCAUA